rnacentral:rRNA from 1 species
AUUGAACGCUGGCGGCAGGCCUAACACAUGCAAGUCGAACGAGUGGCGGACGGGUGAGUAAUGUCUGGGAAACUGCCUGAUGGCGGGGGCUAACUACUGGAAACGGUAGCUAAUACCGCAUACCCUCGGAUGUGCCCAGAUGGUAUUAGCUAGUAGGUGGGGUAAAGGCUAACCUAGGCGACGAUCCCUAGGUGGUCUGAGAGGAUCACCAGCCACAAGGGAACGUAGACACGGUCCAGACUCCUACGGGAGGCAGUAUUGGUGAAUAUUGCACAAUGGGCGAAAGCCUGAUGCAGCCAUGCCUCGUGUAGGAAGAAGGCCUUCGGGUUGUAAAGUACUUUCAGCGGGGAGGCGUUACCCGCAGAAGAAGCACCGGCUAACUCCGUGCCAGCAGCCGCGGUAAUUC